GCCGGGCGCGGUGGCGCGCGCCUGUAAUCCAAGUUACCGGGAGGCUGAGUCUGGCGGAUCGUUUGAGCUCAGGAGAUCUGAGCUGCAGCGGACUAUGUCGAUCGGGUGUCCGCACUAAGUUCGGUAUCGAUAUGGUGCUGCCGGGGGAGCCCGGGACCACCAGGUCGUCUAAGGAGGGGUGCAUCGGCCCAGGUCGGAAACGGAGCAGGCCAAAGCCCCCGUGCCGCUCAGUAGUUGUAGUGCAGCCUGAGUAAUACAGCGGGAUCCAGUCUUU
rnacentral:SRP_RNA from 14 species